AUUGAACGCUGGCGGCAGGCUUAACACAUGCAAGUCGAGCGGGGUGAUGGUGCUUGCACUAUCACUUAGCGGCGGACGGGUGAGUAAUGCUUAGGAAUCUGCCUAUUAGUGGGGGACAACAUCUCGAAAGGGAUGCUAAUACCGCAUACGUCCUACGGGAGAAAGCAGGGGAUCACUUGUGACCUUGCGCUAAAAGAUGAGCCUAAGUCGGAUUAGGUAGUUGGUGGGGUAAAGGCCUACCAAGGCGACGAUCUGUAGCGGGUCUGAGAGGAUGAACCGCCACACUGGGACUGAGACACGGCCCAGACUCCUACGGGAGGCAGCAGUGGGGAAUGUUGGACAAUGGGGGGAACCCUGAUCCAGCCAUGCCGCGUGUGUGAAGAAGGCCUUAUGGUUGUAAAGCACUUUAAGCGAGGAGGAGGCUCUUUUGGUUAAUACCCAAGAUGAGUGGACGUUACUCGCAGAAUAAGCACCGGCUAACUCUGUGCCAGCAGCCGCGGUAA
rnacentral:rRNA from 1 species